CGCAGGCUCGGCGUUGGCCCCCGCGCCCCGUGCAAGUGCGCCGUUCUCGGGUGCCCUAGGUCGCGGGGCAGCUGGGGCGGAAGGGCUUGUUCAUUAUUUUGAGAGUUUGUUGUGAACGUCAUAACCCUUCGUCCUUAAAUAUUGCCGAUACUUGACCUACGCAAGAGACAAUGUCAUGUGAUUCAGCCUAAUAUCUCAGAGGAUGCAGCAUUCAAGGUUCUAUCUUGGAAGCAGAGACUGGGCCCUCACCAGAUGCUGAACCUGCUGAGCACCUUGAUCUUCCACUUCACCUUCAUCAGAACUGGUGCUAAGAAUUCUGAAUUUAUUGAGGAAACGUCUGAUUGCAACAAAAAACUUGUCUGGCUUUGGGAAGCAACAGGCUUAGGAAAAAAAUUAAAGGCAUCUUUACUAGAAGUUCAAGACUGGGGCCGUGGCUGAGAUGUCACAUGGGAGAUAGGAUCACAAAUUUCUGUUGUAUCUGGAUGGAGAUCAGCAGGAGGAUCUAUGGGUGAGAAGAAGCACAGUUACAGAUGGAUUCUAGAGCCUGCUUGCUGAUACAGGCUUGCAACUGUGGACUUUAUAAGCUUAGUUUUUAAUCUGCUAUCAGCUAGCAUAAUACCAUAAAUGCAUAAGAAACUAAGUAUUCAGUCUUAAGAGAAAUGCUACCUUGACCUGACCCUUUCUCCAAAUAAAUUCACAAAA
rnacentral:lncRNA from 1 species